rnacentral:rRNA from 1 species
ACUCAAAUGAAUUGACGGGGGCCCGCACAAGCAGCGGAGCGUGUGGUUUAAUUCGAGGCUACCCGAAGCACCUUACCUGGGCUUGAAGGGUCGGUGGUAGGGAACCGAAAGGGGACUGACCGCAAGGAGCCGACCCCGGUGCUGCAUGGCUGUCGUCAGCUCGUGUCGUGAGAUGUUCGGUUAAGUCCGAAAACGAGCGCAACCCUCGGGGCAAGUUACACGUAUCCUGCCCGACUGCCCGUGAGAAACGGGAGGAAGGUGAGGAUGACGUCAAGUCAGCAUGGCCUGGAUGUCCAGGGCGACACACACGCUACAAUGGCGGGGACAAUGGGUAGCCAAGGGGCGACCCGGAGCCAAUCCCGUAAACCCGGUCGUAGUUCGGAUUGCAGGCUGCAACCCGCCUGCAUGAAGCUGGAGUUGCUAGUAACCGCGCGUCAGCACAGUGCGGUGAAUACGUUCCCGGGCCUUGCACACACCGCCCGU